rnacentral:lncRNA from 1 species
AGUGCUCAUUCCUCUCUUCUAAUACUUUAUUUUUGAUGAUGUAAUAGACUAACGGGGAAAAAAGAAGUUUUGUGUCAUUUGGUGCCCAGAUGUCUCCUGAUGGACGAGAGGCAGCCAGAGUUGGAGAAGCAGGCCGGUGCUCCCUUCAGGGGAAGCACAGCACGAGGGUCCUACUCAAGCCGGCAGAAGCCCCCGAGCAAAGACCGGUUGCGGAGCGCCGCAGGGCACGCAUCUGCCAUUGCAUGGACUCAGCUGGGCCAGGGGAUUUCUCCUGACCCUAAUGCACGUAAGAGGCUCAGGGGAUUCUCCCACCUGGCGUCUCCUGGCUGAAGGUGGAUUGUGGGCAGACGGUGAUCAGGAAGAUCCCACUCUUGGCCAGCAUUCAUCCCGGGAAGGACCAGCUCCCCAGGUGAGUGGGGAAAGAGGACGAGUGUUGCUCUGACAGUGGACCCUGAGACCUAUUGCUUCUCUGUGGGGUUAAAAGUCAUUAAAUUAAUCUAGGGCUUGGAGUUAGCGCAGUGGUAGAACACUUGCCUAGUAUGGG